AAACAUGCAAGUCGAACGGAAAGGCCCCUUCGGGGGUACUCGAGUGGCGAACGGGUGAGUAACACGUGGGUGAUCUACCCUGCACUUCGGGAUAAGCCUGGGAAACUGGGUCUAAUACCGGAUAGGACCAUGAGAUGCAUGUCUUAUGGUGGAAAGCUUUUGCGGUGUGGGAUGGGCCCGCGGCCUAUCAGCUUGUUGGUGGGGUGACGGCCUACCAAGGCGACGACGGGUAGCCGGCCUGAGAGGGUGUCCGGCCACACUGGGACUGAGAUACGGCCCAGACUCCUACGGGAGGCAGCAGUGGGGAAUAUUGCACAAUGGGCGCAAGCCUGAUGCAGCGACGCCGCGUGGGGGAUGACGGCCUUCGGGUUGUAAACCUCUUUCAGCAGGGACGAAGCGCAAGUGACGGUACCUGCAGAAGAAGCACCGGCCAACUACGUGCCAGCAGCCGCGGUAAUACGUAGGGUGCGAGCGUUGUCCGGAAUUACUGGGCGUAAAGAGCUCGUAGGUGGUUUGUCGCGUUGUUCGUGAAAACCGGGGGCUUAACCCUCGGCGUGCGGGCGAUACGGGCAGACUGGAGUACUGCAGGGGAGACUGGAUUCCUGGUGUAGC
rnacentral:rRNA from 1 species